rnacentral:rRNA from 1 species
AUGCACGCUGGCGGCGUGCCUAAUCCAUGCCAGUCGAGCGAACGGACGAGAAGCUUGCUUCUCUGAUGUUAGCGGCGGCCGGGUGAGUAACACGUGGAUAACCUACCUAUAAGACUGGGAUAACUUCGGGAAACCGGAGCUAAUACCGGAUAAUAUUUUGAACCGCCUGGUUCAAAAGUGAAAGACGGUCUUGCUGUCACUUAUAGAUGGAUCCGCGCUGCAUUAGCUAGUUGGUAAGGUAACGGCUUACCAAGGCAACGAUGCAUAGCCGACCUGAGAGGGUGAUCGGCCACACUGGAACUGAGACACGGUCCAGACUCCUACGGGAGGCAGCAGUAGGGAAUCUUCCGCAAUGGGCGAAAGCCUGACGGAGCAACGCCGCGUGAGUGAUGAAGGUCUUCGGAUCGUAAAACUCUGUUAUUAGGGAAGAACAUAUGUGUAAGUAACUGUGCACAUCUUGACGGUACCUAAUCAGAAAGCCACGGCUAACUACGUG